AUGGUCACGUACUUUUCUUCGUCAAGUAGUCCAGUACUGCACCAGAAGCGACGUCGGCCGAACAGGCGGAGAGGAAGAGGCCACAGAAGGAUUCUUGCAUCCAAAUGGUUCACGGUCUGGAUGGUGGAUUCGUUCUUCGAUGGCCAGACCAUCCAUGUCAAGCAGCGGCAUGAGAAGAGCUCCGGCGAGCUCAUCAUGUGCCGGUGCAUCUCACCUUCAAGCACAUGCUGCAGACUCCGACUGUUCUUUCUUUGCUGGAUGUUCGGCCCGCUGAUGCUGCAUGGAAGCAUUCAAAGUGAAAAAAAAUCUUCAUAUACCUUCCUGUGUGGGAGUAUUAUGCCGAGCCUCCCCAGCAAGGUUUUCAAUAUUAAGGGGGAAAUUUGA
rnacentral:rRNA from 1 species